AUACGGAGGGUGUAAGCGUUAUCCGGAAUCAUUGGGUUUAAAGGGUCCGCAGGCGGUCAAUUAAGUCAGAGGUGAAAUCCCGUCGCUCAACGAUGGAACUGCCUUUGAUACUGGUUGACUUGAGUUAUACGGAAGUAGAUAGAAUAAGUAGUGUAGCGGUGAAAUGCAUAGAUAUUACUUAGAAUACCGAUUGCGAAGGCAGUCUACUACGUAUAUACUGACGCUGAGGGACGAAAGCGUGGGGAGCGAACAGGAUUAGAAACCCCUGUAGUCC
rnacentral:rRNA from 1 species